GACUNCCAAUGGGGGAACCCUGAUGCAGCGACCCCGCGUGAGCGAUGAAGCCCUUCGGGGUNCNAAGCUCUUUCGACGGGAACGAUAAUGACGGUACCCGGAGAAGAAGCUGCGGCUAANUACGUGCCAGCAGCCGCGGUAAUACGUAGGCAGCGAGCGUUGUUCGGAGUUACUGGGCGUAAAGAGUAUGUAGGCGGUUGCGCAAGUUUGGUGUGAAAUCUCCCGGCUUAACUGGGAGGGUGCGCCGAAAACUGCGUGGCUAGAGUGCGGGAGAGGAGAGCGGAAUUCCUGGUGUAGCGGUGAAAUGCGUAGAUAUCAGGAGGAACACCGGCGGUGUAGACGGCUCUCUGGACCGUGACUGACGCUGAGAUACGAAAGCGUGGGGAGCAAACAGGAUUAGAUACCCUGGUAGUCCACGCCCUAAACGAUGCGGACUUGGUGUGGGCAGUUCAUUCUGUCCGUGCCGGAGCUAACGCGUUAAGUCCGCCGCCUGGGGAGUACGGUCGCAAGGCUGAAACUCAAAAAAAUUGACGGA
rnacentral:rRNA from 1 species